UUUUUUUUUUCCUUUUUAGAGCUGCACCUUAAACACAUGAAGUUCCCAGGCUAGGGGUCGAGUCAGAGCUGCAGCUGUCAGCCUAGGCCUCUGCCACAGCAACACGGGAUCAAAGCCGGACCUGUGACCUACACCACAGCUCAUGGCAAUACCAGAUCCUUAACCCCGUGCGUGAGGCCAGGGAUUGAACCCUCAUUCUCACAGACACUAUGUUGGGUCCUUAACCCACUGAGCCACAGUGGGAACUUCAAGGGAACACAUUUUGAUGGUAUUCUCCCAGAAUGUGUUUUGUGCAUACCCCAAAAUGUCAUAAGCAAUACUUUUGUUCACUUUUAAUAGAUUUAUUACUCCAACCACCAAAGUUGAAAACAGUGUUUUGAUGUAGGAGCCAAAAAUUAUCACAGAAGAAGUUCAGUGUAUAAGUCAUUGAAAGUAAAAUAGAUUGAUGUCAUACGUUUAUUAGUAUUUUGUGAUGGACAUAAUUUUUUCCUUGUUUUUUGUUUUGUUUUCGUCCUCUUUUAACCCAACUGUCCUGUGUGGCAGGGGAGUAACCUAUUGAGAUUAUUGGUGACUGACUCAAGGGGGAGUACAAACCAGAAACCUACCCGCAGCCUCUUCGGGGGCGCACUGAGAGAUCACCCUAAAUUUAGUUCAUGCCACACAUAAAAAAUGAAACAGCCAAGUGUCCUUAAUAAAAAAAGAGUUUGACCACCAUGCAGGCUGGUCCUCAACAUCGCACAAUUUUGUACUUUGCAGGAAACUUCCAUGUGAAGCUUUAUGUUCAACUCUUAGAAAUAGCAAUACUGGAGUUCCUAUUGUGGCUCAGUGGAAACGAAUCUGACGAGCAUCCAUGAGGAUGCAGGUUCGAUCCGUGGCCUCGCUCGGUGGUUUAAGGCAUCGCCCUGAGCUGUGGUGUAGGCUGCAGAUGCGCUUGGAUCCUGUGUUGCUGUGGCUGUGGUGGAGACCAGCGGCUACAGCUCUGAUUUGACCCCUAGCCUGGGAACCUCCCUCCAUACGCUAUGGGUGCAGCCCUAAAAAGACAAAAAAAAAAAUCGUAAUACCAAUGUGGUUUAAGUCUUUGGAGUUAAUGUCAAAAACGAAAGGUUCACAAAGACCUAUGUCCUUGUCACAGUGUUUAAGAUCAGUGGAGGCUCAUCAGACAUGAGGUGAGACCCAGCCUCAGGAAGAGAAGCCUCGGCCUCAGGUGUCUGCAAUGUCCUUCGUCCAACUGGCUUGCAGACCAGCCCCUGGGCUCAGUCCCACGGCGGCCUCUCUGUGCCCUCACCUCGCCAGUGUUGUCAUCCAACCUGAAUCCAUCUCUAACGACCCAUCCAUCUGCAUCUCACUCCCCAGCCCCCAUCAGUCUAUUUUCCAUGCUGAAUCCAACAUCAUCUCUCUCAAACGCAGCCGUGAUCAUGCUUCUCCCUCCUUAAGAACCUCGGUGGCUCCCUAUUACACACAGGAUCAUCCAAGCCCCUGGCAGGGCCUGUAAGUGCUGCGCCAGCUCUCCCACCCUGUCCUUCCAGCCUGGCGUCCUGCUCAUCUCCCUCUGUCUCCCUCAAACACACACAGACCUCCAGCCCCACCCCCUCCGACAUGGGCACUCCUGCGUCCCCUCCCUUCCACCUGGGAGGCAGUGGACACUGUUGGCUUCUGCAUGAGACUCUCCAGCAUCCCGGGCAGCCGGUGUCUCUCCGGUCUCUCCAAGCAUUUACACAUGUGUCUGUCUCCAAGGAGAGCAAGGCUUUGUUCUGCUUCCAGGAAUGCCAUCCCUCCCUGGUCACCUUAGGGAGGCACUGGGGGGCAUGGCUGUCUCGUCACCCCGUGUCUAGCUCGGUCCCCACACGAAGGCCCAGGGAGUGACUGCCGAAUGUGGAAAUGAGAGAAGCUGGGCAUUUACAACUAAUUGGUGUGAAGUUAAAGACCUAACGAUAAGGAUCAGUGGCAGUUCAGCUUGACCCAGGAAAGAAACCCGAGAGAACUUCAGAGGCUGGUGUUUGGGGCAGGGCUCCUCUGGGAGGGGUUUAGCAUUUCUGUCUCCCCAGAUGCGCGGGACUUGAACCAGAACACACACGCUGGAACCGCCUUCUGGGAGAGACAAAAGGGAAGCAGGAAAGCUCAAGCCACCCUUGGAGGCGAAAACCAAGGCAACCCCAGAACCAUUUUUGGAGUCUGAGAAAGAAAACGUCUGCCGCCUCCACCUGCAGAAAGCGCACCCCACUUUCGCCCGCACACCCCCACACCGCCCACCAGACAUUGCCUCAGAGGAUCAGACGACACCGCUCAGCUAUGCUUGCAGAGGCUCUGCUGAUGCUGGGAUCAGCUUCUUCACGUGGUGCAGGGGACAGGAACCGCAGAAUGCUUCCCUGAAGCCAGAGGUCAUUUUUUCUGCUCUGCCUCCAACCAGGAAGGUGUUCUUCCCACCAGAAGGGGCCCCUUCCCUUCACUCCCGCACAGAAGCAUGG
rnacentral:lncRNA from 1 species